AUUGAACGCUGGCGGCAUGCUUUACACAUGCAAGUCGAACGGUAACAGGUUAAGCUGACGAGUGGCGAACGGGUGAGUAAUACAUCGGAACGUGCCCGAUCGUGGGGGAUAACGCAGCGAAAGCUGCGCUAAUACCGCAUACGAUCUGAGGAUGAAAGCGGGGGACCGUAAGGCCUCGCGCGAUCGGAGCGGCCGAUGUCAGAUUAGGUAGUUGGUGGGGUAAAGGCUCACCAAGCCAACGAUCUGGAGCUGGUCUGAGAGGACGACCAGCCACACUGGGGCUGAGACACGGCCCAGACUCCUACGGGAGGCAGCAGUGGGGAAUUUUGGACAAUGGGCGCAAGCCUGAUCCAGCAAUGCCGCGUGCAGGAAGAAGGCCUUCGGGUUGUAAACUGCUUUUGUACGGAGCGAAAAGGUCCUUUCUAAUACAGAGGGCUCAUGACGGUACCGUAAGAAUAAGCACCGGCUAACUACGUGCCAGCAGCCGCCGUAAAAC
rnacentral:rRNA from 1 species